GUGUCCUCCCCCCUCCUCCCCGACCCCGGUUCCAACCCUAGCCGCCCCUACCUCUCCUCGCGACACAACAGCGCCGCCCUCCCCCUCGCUCCCUCGAUCUGCCCUGCCGCCGGCCACCCUCCUUUCUGUCUCCACCCGCCGCACCCCCCAGCACCAUCUCCCUUGCUGCAGCCCGCCGCCUUCCCCCUCUGCAGCGGCCCCCAUGCCGCCCCUGCACCUCCCCGGCGAGUCCCCACGCCGCCCUUGCGUCUCCCGCGGCAAGUCCCCGCGUCGCCGCUGCUCCUGCCCGCCGGAUCCGCCGCGCGUAGGGAGUAGGAGCAGGACCCUCGUGGGGAGCAGCUGGACCACGCCUCUGACAACACCGGCGCCAUGGUCCUCGCGGCCGCAGCCGCACUCUACGCUCAGCGGGGCCAGAAGCACGACGACGACUUCUACACGGCUACCUGCACCUCUUCCGCCUUUGACUGCCACCAUGAUUAAUCCCAUGUGCCCUCUUUUUUUCCCCAUCGUGAAUCCCUAAAUCCCUAGAUGUUGGUGUUUUUUUUUUGCUGCAUCUGAUCUGAAAAUGAAUGUAAAACAUGCGUGUUUGGACAUUGGAGAAUAUGCAGGGCUUUUCAUCUAGACAUGGCGGCAGUAGAGUGUUCUAAUGAAUGUAUAUCUCCUAUAUCUUGUAUGUAGAGAUUUGCUCUCUGGUGCUUAUAAGAAAUUAGAGUAAAGAGAGAAAUUCACAUUUUUUCAGGUAGUGGGGAAAAUAGGUUAGUAGAUAUCACACAAAGGCGUACUGAUUUUCUGCUUUAUUGCCUGUUCAUUUUGCUCAAUUUUACUUGACCCCCUUUUCGCUAUUGCUAUAAAUGCAGGAUACAGUUUUGGAACUGGAAUUUCAAGGGAUCAAAAGCAGUUCACUAUGCUCCGGACAUGGCCUGUGCGCUCACCAAGGCCUGUUGCAUCAAAGCUUGCUGCUGAUACACCUCUCUUAACAGGACAGCGUGUGCUCGAUGCAUUGUUUCCCUCAGUGCUUGGAGGGACAUGUGCUAUUCCUGGGGCGUUUGGUUGUGGAAAAACUUUCAUUAGUCAGGCAGUUUCAAAGUAUUCCAAUUCUGAAGCUGUGGUUUGAGGGCUGUUGGGAACGAGGGAAUGAGAUGGCUGACCUUAUGGAUUUCCCUCAAUUGACAAUGACAUUGAAGGAUGGACGUGAAGAAUCUGUCAUUAAAAGAACAACUCUUGUGGCUAACACCUCAAACAUGGCUGUUGCUGCUCGUGAAGCUACCAUUUAUAUAGAUUUGCUUGCGUAUGGAGUUUGAGGAUGCAGGAAUUUUCUGCUCCUAUAUAUGUACCUAAACACUAAGCUGCUGUGCUUCGGUGGAUCACCCAAUGCAAGGAGUCUAAGCACUCGUGGAUCAGGGGAGGGAGGCAGUUCGGGAGCCCAAUUUUGUAGCUACAUGAGGGUGGCAGGUGUGGUUCCAUCUCAACUUCUGGGCUCGCAGUUGCAGCACCAACAAAAUCAAGCGCUUCUUCACUGAGGCGCACUACAAGCCGUCCUCCGACACCAUCAAAGACCCAAAACCAACUCCCAUCGUCGAAAUAUACACCAUCAUUGAAGAGCCGCUUUCCCAGUACAGGAGGACCUGUGCAUUUUGUUCUGCCAGUUGCGACAUUCUGCACCCGAAGGGGUGCUGCAAGUUUGUUUGUGGCAACGACAAGGAUCGGAUAGGACAACGCCUUGUGCAGUUUGGGUCUGCCUUGAGUUGCCAUUCACUUGCCCCCUCCCGACGGGAAGCCAGGCCCGGUCCUGAGAUUUAUAGGGCUUGGGGCGAAACUAAAGCACCGGAGCCCUUCUAUGUUUAAAAUCGUUGAUUAUUGGAGUAAUGUAUAGAAAUCUCGAGAAAUUUUACAAUAAUUGAAAAAAUAGAAGUCGAUCUGGUAAAAAUCUACGAUGGUGAAGGUGCUGGCUUGCUGGUCUGCUGCCUGCUGGAAUCGGACACUGCUGACGAAGAAGCCACCGGAGAGAAUUGGAGAGCGCAAACACGGACGGACGGCGAUCACGGAGACGACGCGCACGUAUCGUUUCAUUCGCUCGGGCUCUACACAGCGACAUGACAGCGCGGCCCCAUUG